rnacentral:rRNA from 1 species
AUUGAACGCUGGCGGCAGGCUUAACACAUGCAAGUCGAGCGGUAGCACAGGGGAGCUUGCUCUCUGGGUGACGAGCGGCGGACGGGUGUGUAAUGUCUGGGACACUGCCUGAUGGAGGGGGAUAACUACUGGAAACGGUAGCUAAUACCGCAUAACUUCGCAAGACCAAAGAGGGGGACCUUCGGGCCUCUUGCCAUCAGAUGUGCCCAGAUGGGAUUAGCUAUUAGGUGGGGUAAUGGCUCACCUAGUCGACGAUCCCUAGCUGGUCUGAGAGGAUGACCAGCCACACUGGAACUGAGACACGGUCCAGACUCCUACGGGAGGCAGCAGUGGGGAAUAUUGCACAAUGGGCGCAAGCCUGAUGCAGCCAUGCGGCGUGUGUGAAGAAGGCCUUCGGGUUGUAAAGCACUUUCAGCGAGGAGGAAGGUGGUGAGCUUAAUACGUUCAUCAAUUGACGUUACUCGCAGAAGAAGCACCGGCUAACUCCGU